rnacentral:piRNA from 1 species
UGCUCACCCUCAGGCCUUGUUUGGCAAA